AGGAAGGACGGCCGGGGGUGGGGAGGCGGCAGGAAUGUUCUGGCCUGCUGCUCCGACAGGAAGUCAGCAUGGAUGACAUCAUCAGAAAAAUAUGUGGAGCUGAUCUCGACCAGAAGUGAAGAACCCAGAGCAAGACAGCGGUUAUAACUCCUGAGCCCAGGGAGUUGGCAGCGUGUGGGUUUCAGAGAAGCCAGCGCCUCCGAGUUGUCUUGAAGUGAGGCUCUGCUAAACCACUCUUCUUCCGGCUAUAAGAUCUGAAUGCUGUGAUCUUUAAUUUGGUGAGUGUCAUUUGUCCCUUAAUGGCUGCUUAAAUUUAGUUUACUAAUUCUAUUCUUUUGCUUUGUAGUAAGAUUUAAGGAAAGAGGAGGAGGCACAGGGACUUCUGCACACAAGGAUAAUGGCUGUAUCAAAUAGGAUAACAGUAAUAGUUAGGAUAGGCUAACUAUUGUGGCUCAGCCCUUAAGGAACCUGACUAGUGUCCAGAGGAUAGGCUAAUUGCUAUAAUAGACUGAGAAAUGUAUAAUGGCUCAAGUACAGUCGAAGUUUAUUUCUUGGUCAUAUAAUAAUACCGGUUAGUAUGGCAAUUCUCUUUGAUGCAUUCAUUCAGAGACACGGGUUGAAAGAGGCUCCACCUUCUAUAGUGUGUGGUUGUCAUGAUCACCUGGGAUUGUUUCCACUUCCCAGUAGAGGAGGGAAAAAGGAUGUGGAAAAGUGCACCUGGAGAAGUUCCCUGGUGGUUCAGUGGGGUUAAGGAUCUGGCUCAAGUCAUUGCUGUGGUGUAGGCUGGAUCCCUGGCCUGGGAACUUCCGCAUGCUGUAGGUGAAGCUGAAAGAGAAAAAAAAAAAAAAAAAAAAAAAAAAAGAAGAAGAAGAAAAGAAAAGAAAGAAAAUGUGCACAUGAAAGGUUUUCAUGGCCCUUGCCCAGAAAUGGUACACAGGACUUCUGCUCACACACUAUUGGCUAACACCCAGUCGCAUGACCACAUCUGAGGGCAAAGUGGUCUGGGAAAUGUAGUCCCUGGAGGGGGGCAGCCACUUCUAGUGACAGCUCUGGAGAGUUUCUACAGAAGAGGUAGUUCUCUUUGGCACAACAUAAUAAGGACCUUAGAGAUGCUCAAAGAUAGCAGAAUGAAGCCAUGGGGGAAGUAAAAAAUGAUCUGAUAUUUAGAAUUCUCUGACACUCUUAGAUAAAAAGUGGAUAAGGAGCAGUAGGUGAGAUUUUUCAAGAUACUUUUGUCCAUUUUGACCCUGAGCCUUUUACAUGAGCAACAUCAGGCCACCAGUGGCCAGUGAGCCACUAAGAACAUUCUUCUCCCUUUUCUCCUACUCCACGAUCCUCUUGGUUUAGGACCAUUCUGGCUCUGUCUCCUGGUUCUGGGUCUAGUCAUGCUGUUGGAAUUGUCCAACCGAAUUCUCUUUCCCCAAAGUUGAGCCCAGCGGUUUCUUUAAUUCAUGGUUGUGUCUGAGCCUGGAGGGGGAGCUACCAUGCCUGAUCUAUUCUAGAUCUUGGCAUAUUUUUUAGUAUUGAGAGGUAAAGGUGGGAAUCCCUGAGAGGAUGAGUUAUUUAAGAAACAUAUAAAAGAAGACUAGGAGUUCCCGUUGUGGCUCAGCAGAAACAACUUGAUCAGUAUCCAUGAGGAUGCAUGUUCCAUCCCUGGCCUCUAUCAGUGGGUUAAGGAUCCGGCAUUACUGUGAGCUGUGGUGUAGACUGGCAGCUGCAGCUCCAAUUCGACCCCUAGCCUGGGAACCUCCAUAUGCCACGGGCUCAGCCCUAAAAA
rnacentral:lncRNA from 1 species